AUUCCUGAAGUUUCCUGAGAAUCGUUUCAAGUUGAUGUAGUCUCUAGGUUAUCGAUCGACCCUCCUAUAUAACGAUCGAGUGUUCAUAUUAUCGAAUCUCGUGGUUAAAUUUCGGAAAUGUCUUGACAAUAAUGUAUUGUAAUAUUGGUAACUCGGAUUAAAGUAAAUCAUUGAAAUCUUUGAUCGGUGCCAGGCAUUAUCAUUUUAGAGAAAAUUUUGUAAAACAAAGUAUCUUCAGAGAAAAGUUUAUAAUCUUGUAUCUCCCACGACACGAUCUUUUCAUUUUUCAUGAAUCAAGAUAACCGUAUUGAAGAAAUUAAAUUAGAGCGAUAAGUUUGAAAGCACACGUAUAUACAGGUGAGAAAUUGAGAAGAAAAAGGAUGAGCGAUCCUGUAGGAAUUUUGGAAAAAUUUUGAAAUACGUUGGCAAAAAUUAGAUUGGAGCGAUAAAUUUGAAGAAAACGCAGGUGAGAGACGGAGAUAAAAGAGGGUGUUAUCAUAUAAGAGACAUCGAUCGAUGAAAAUCGAGCGACUCUUUAAGCUGGUCGUAACCUCUAGUAGGUCCGGCCUUUAGGACGAGGUCGUGGUGACCCAGAUCGCUUCGGUCUCGCCUUACCUGUGCUCGACGUACCAUGGCGGCUGCCUUCGGCUGCUCUCCUGCAAUCGUUACCCCGGAUUCUGCGCACUUUAACGUAUGCGCCUGGAAUACACCUUUGCACCUUUCUCUUUUUUUCUCUCCCUCCCUCCUUCUCUCUCUCUCU